ACUUUCGGGGUACGGAGCGCAUUUAGGACUUAAGUUGUUAACCGAACGGCAUGGGAAGGCCGGUCAGAGAGUGUGAGAACCACGUAGGUGAAAACGACAAGAGCCGAGCGAAUUCCAGAGUACGGCCAGACACGUGAAACCUGGUCGGAAUACGGGGGGACCACCCUCCAACCCUAAAUACUACCCAGUGACCGAUAGCGUAUAGUACUGUGAAGGAAAGGUGAAAAGCACCCCGGGAGGGGAGUGAAAAAGAACCUGAAACCCUGUGCCUACAAGCACAUAGAGCACGUCAAAGCGUGAUAGGGUACUUUUUGUAGAACGGUCCGGCGAGCGAUUGUAUGCAGCAAGGUUAAGGACUUAAGGUCUGGAGCCGAAGCGAAAGCGAGUUUGAAAAGGGCGUUAAGUUGCAUAUAAUGGGCCCGAAACCGGGUGACCUACCCAUGGUCAGGUUGAAGUGGAAGUAAAAUUCCAUGGAGGACCGAACCGACCUCCGUUGAAAAGGCGGCGGAUGAACUGUGGGUAGCGGAGAAAUUCCAAUCGAACCCGGAGAUAGCUGGUUCUCCCCGAAAUAGUUUUAGGACUAGCCUCAAGUUAGAUACCUGGAGGUAAAGCACUGAAUAGCCUAGCGGCCGAGAGGUUAGCGAAGCUUAUCAAACUCAGAAUGCCAGAGUAUUGAUGCUUGGGAGUCAGACAGUGUCAGAUAAAUGUCAUUGUCAAAAGGGAAACAGCCCAGAUCUACAGCUAAGGUCCCAAAGUCAGGUUAAGUGGAAAACGAUGUGAAGAUACGCAGACAACCAGGAUGUUGGCUCAGAAGCAGCCACUCAUUCAAAGAGUGCGUAAUAGCUCACUGGUCGAGCGUCUUUGCGCGGAGAAUUUAACGGGGCUAAACCUGACACCGAAGCUUAGGCAGCAUGUUUACAUGCUGGGUAGGGGAGCGUUGUAUACGCGGUGAAACAGUAGCGCAAGCGGCUGUGGAGUGUAUAGAAGUGAGAAUGCCGGAAUGAGUAGCGCGAAUGCAGUGAGAAUCUGCAUGGCCGAAAGCCUCAGGUUUCUGGAGGAAGGUUCGUCCGCUCCAGGUCAGUCGGGAGCUAAGGUGAGGCCUAACGGCGUAGCCGAUGCACAGACGGUAGAGAUUCCGUCACCACCAAAAGAGUUAAACACAGGGACACAUAUGAAGUCUCGGAGCCGGGUGUUGGUUCCGGUAGCGAUCGAGGGAAGUUAGUACCGAAGUCCGGGAUGGAAGAUGGCGAGAAAAGCUGUGUGUAUUUCUGCGGUGCCCGUACCGCAAACCGACACAGGUAGGUAGGAAGAAGAUUCUAAGGCCAACGGGAGAAGGGUUGUUAAGGAACUCGGCAAAUUGACCCCGUAACUUCGGGAGAAGGGGUGCUGCAGCAAUGCAGCCGCAGAGAAUCGGCCCAAGCAACUGUUUACCAAAAACACAGGUUUGUGCUAAAUCGAAAGAUGACGUAUACGAGCUGACGCCUGCCCGGUGCUGGAAGGUUAAGAGGAGAUGUGCAAGCAUUGAAUCGAAGCCCCAGUGAACGGCGGCCGUAACUAUAACGGUCCUAAGGUAGCGAAAUUCCUUGUCAGGUAAGUUCUGACCCGCAUGAAAGGCGUAAUGAUUUGGGCACUGUCUCAACAGCCCGCCCGGCGAAAUUGUAGUACCGGUGAAGAUGCCGGUUACCCGCGACAAGACGGAAAGACCCCAUGGAGCUUUACUGUAGCCUAAUAUUGGGUUUCGAUGUUGCAUGCACAGGAUAGAUGGGACACUGGGAAGCAGGUGCUUUGGCGCUUGUGGAGUGGCCGUUGGGAUACCAUCCUUGCGAUAUUGGAAUUCUAACCUGCGCCUUUGAAUCAAGGCGGGGGACAUUGUUAGGUGGGCAGUUUGACUGGGGCGGUCGCCUCCUAAAGAGUAACGGAGGCGUUCAAAGGUUCGCUCAGCUUGAACGGAAAUCAAGCAAAAGAGUGCAAACGCAGAAGCGAGCCUAACUGCGAGACUGACGGGUCGAGCAGUAACGAA
rnacentral:rRNA from 1 species